AUUGAACGCUGGCGGCAGGCCUAACACAUGCAAGUCGAGCGAGCGGCGGACGGGUGCGUACUGUCUGGGAAACUGCCUGAUGGCGGGGGAUAACUACUGGAAACGGUAGCUAAUACCGCAUACCAUCAGAUGUGCCCAGAGGGGGUUAGCUAGUCGGUGGGGUAACGGCUCACCUAGGCGACGAUCCCUAGCUGGUCUGAGAGGAUGAUCAGCCACACUGGAACUGAGACACGGUCCAGACUCCUACGUGAGGCAGCAGUGGGGAAUAUUGCGCAAUGGGCGAAAGCCUGAUGCAGCCAUGCCGCGUGAGUGAAGAAGGCCUUCGGGUUGUAAAGCUCUUUCAGCGGGGAGGCGGUACCCAAAGAGGAAGCACCGGCUAACUCCGUGCCAGCAGCCGCGGUAAUAC
rnacentral:rRNA from 1 species